rnacentral:rRNA from 1 species
UACGAAGGGUGCAAGCGUUACUCGGAAUUACUGGGCGUAAAGCGUGCGUAGGUGGUUUGUUAAGUCUGCUGUGAAAGCCCCGGGCUCAACCUGGGAAUGGCAGUGGAUACUGGCAAGCUAGAGUGCGGUAGAGGGUAGUGGAAUUCCCGGUGUAGCGGUGAAAUGCGUAGAGAUCGGGAGGAACACCAGUGGCGAAGGCGGCUACCUGGACCAGCACUGACACUGAGGCACGAAAGCGUGGGUAGCAAACAGG